ensembl:lncRNA TMEM184C-DT TMEM184C divergent transcript
AGAAAGAAGAGCAGGUGCGUGGAAGUGGGUGGAAUUGCCGCAGAUGGUCCAGCGGGCUAUUGCAAGGAUUCUGGAAGCUGCGGGAAUUAUUUGAGGACACUUGAAGCACACCUACUACAUUCUUCUGCUGGCGUUAUUCCAGUUUAAAGAAAGCUUGGGGUCUUGCUGUGUUGACCAAGUUGGAGUGCAGUGGCAUGAUCUCAGCUCAUUGCAACCUCUGCCUCCUGAGUUCAAGCAUUCUCCUCUCUCAGCCUCCCAAGUAGCUGGGACUACAGGCAUGUACCACCACACCUGGGUAAUUUUUGUAAUUUUUUAGUAGAAAUGGGGUUUCACCAUGUUGACCAGGCUGGCCUUGAACUCUUGACCUCAAGUGAUCCACCCACUUCGGCCUCCCGAAGUGCUGGGAUUACAGGCGUGAGCCACCACAUCUAGCUGACAAUUCUUUUAUAAUAUUUAAUUAUAUAGAAUAAAGGGAGAGAAAUAGUGAGGGGGGAUAUGGAAAUGAGUUUUACUUUUCCUCCCAAAGUGGAAGAAAAUAACAACAAUCUGUGAACAUGUUUAAAUGCUG